AGCGAACGCUGGCGGCAGGCCUAACACAUGCAAGUCGAACGAAGCCUUCGGGCUUAGUGGCGGACGGGUGAGUAACACGUGGGAACGUACCUUUUGGUUCGGAAUAACGCAGAGAAAUUUGCGCUAAUACCGGAUGAGCCCUUCGGGGGAAAGAUUUAUCGCCGAAAGAUCGGCCCGCGUUGGAUUAGGUAGUUGGUGUGGUAAAGGCGCACCAAGCCUACGAUCCAUAGCUGGUCUGAGAGGAUGAUCAGCCACACUGGGACUGGGACACGGCCCAGACUCCUACGGGAGGCAGCAGUGGGGAAUCUUGCGCAAUGGGUGAAAGCCUGACGCAGCCAUGCCGCGUGAAUGAUGAAGGUCUUAGGAUUGUAAAAUUCUUUUACCAGGGACGAUAAUGACGGUACCUGGAGAAAAAGCCCCGGCUAACUUCGUGCCAGCCGCCGCAGUAAGAC
rnacentral:rRNA from 1 species